UCUCCAGCCAACGCAGACGCGGCUGCACAUUUUCAUAAGGUGAUAGCAGCUAUCUGUGCGUGGGAUUGUCUCUCUCUCUCUACCGGAGCCACUGCCUGUGCUUGAGGGAGCGACGCACAAAACACAUAAUGGUGGUGUCUGUUCGCCGCCGAGUCUCGGAUGUCAGUGAAUACCUGCAGCGCAGGAGCUGAACCACAGAAUUGUAGCCUGUCAACGUGAGCUCACUGCUUUUUUUCUUGCUUUUUCGAUCAUUCGAAGAGCCCCAUACGGCACGCGAGAUUGGCGGAUCGCUCAACGCUCAACGAGCCCCUCGUUGCACGCUAUGGCCUUGCACGCAGUGACCUGAUUACACACAUCUCACUCGCGCUGAAUCGGCUUUCCCCGUCGGGUGCCCACGACUGCCCCCUGUGCCCCCCUCCCAGGAAGACAGGCUCUGAGCUCUUUGUGCGCACGCGCUGUCAAGCACCGCCGGCACGGCGCCUCGCAUCCGAAGAAAGCAUGCAGAGGCGCGAAGAGACGCAUGCGAGCGAGCCGCCGUGUGCAUGUGCGCGGAGCAUGCGGAACGUCCCCCACCCGGCCGUGUGGGCUGCUGAGGCACAGAUGCCCGGGGGGGGGGGGCAUGACGCGAGCACCCCGAAUGGCAGCAUCGGGUCGUCCGGGCACCCAUGUGGCGAGUCUCCACACCGUACUAUGGCAUGCCGCUGCUUGAGGCGACGGAGGGCGCGAGGGAGGGCACACAGGCGGAGCACAGGGCCUCCAGGGGGCCCUGGCCUGCGGCUGGCCAACUGAUUCCGUGAGCCCGUGCGGCAUGCACCUGGGCCACCACCACCCCUCUACUACGCGCACGGCGGACGCCGGUGCCUCCGCCCUUGAGCAGGGCCCUGGACGCUGCCCGCGUUGGGUCCAGGCGCGCAGUGCACCCAGGUCGGUCUGGUGCCGGUGGCGCAGCACGCGUGCGAGGGAGGCGCGAGGAAGGACAAGAAGAGACCGUGAGACGCAUGUCCCCGCUUCGGCGGCAGCCGUCUCGCCCUAGAGGGCCAAGAUGCCGCCUUGGUGCAGCGGAGGCGUCUGCGCUGUGAUGGCGUGUACGUCUGGGUGGGAGUGCCGUGUUUGAUUUGUUGGUGGUGUACUGAAACUAUGGAAAAGAAGGAGCGGGUGGGAUAUCGAUUUGUGCGCACCACACAUGGCUGCCGUCGCUGCUCGUUUCUUUUGCGCGGGUUUCUAUGGUGCCUUCUGUGCUCUGCUGCGUCUCUCCUGUGCAGGCUCGUCUCCACCGUGGAGGUUGUGAUGGAGAGCGUGGAGCGGUUCCGAGAAGCGCGGGCGACGGUCGGUGUCUGCUUUGUUCAUCCCUGUAGGCAUUUGAUAGCGAACAGGCUACGGAGACGUGCGGCGGGUUUCUGAGUGCAUCUCUUGGCGCCUUCCUCGUAAUGCGCCUUUUCAAUAUAUAUCCCGGUAGUCUGCCACCCCUUUUUCUGCUCUUCCGUCCGUUUUUCCGCCACUCUUGCAUUGUGUACCGCUCUGAGUCUUUCCUAAAGAUGUGCGCAUGGCUCGUCCGCCGGUGGCGCUUUUUUUCUUGUAACCUGCAUGGUGCGCCUGCCCAGCUUCAGCCCG
rnacentral:misc_RNA from 1 species